CCUACGGGGGGCAGCAGUGAGGAAUAUUGGUCAAUGGGCGUAAGCCUGAACCAGCCAAGUCGCGUGAGGGAUGAAGGUUCUAUGGAUCGUAAACCUCUUUUAUAAGGGAAUAAAGUGUGGGACGUGUCCGAUUUUGUAUGUACCUUAUGAAUAAGGAUCGGCUAACUCCGUGCCAGCAGCCGCGGUAAUACGGAGGGUGCGAGCGUUAAGCGGAAUUACUGGGCGUAAAGCGCUCGUAGGCGGUAUGUCAAGUCAAGGGUGAAAUCCCCGCGCUCAACGUGGGAACUGCCUUUGAAACUGGCAAACUGGAUUGUGUGAGAGGCUAGUGGAAUUCCCGGUGUAGGCGUGAAAUCCGUAGCUAUCUGGAGGAACAUCAGUGGCGAAGGCGACUCUCUGGCACAUACCUGACGCUGAGGAGCGAAAGCGUGGGUAGCAAACAGGAUUAGAUACCCCAGUAGUC
rnacentral:rRNA from 1 species